CUUAACACAUGCAAGUCGAACGGAAAGGCCCUGCUUUUGUGGGGUGCUCGAGUGGCGAACGGGUGAGUAACACGUGAGUAACCUGCCCUUGACUUUGGGAUAACUUCAGGAAACUGGGGCUAAUACCGGAUAGGAGCUCCUGCUGCAUGGUGGGGGUUGGAAAGUUUCGGCGGUUGGGGAUGGACUCGCGGCUUAUCAGCUUGUUGGUGGGGUAGUGGCUUACCAAGGCUUUGACGGGUAGCCGGCCUGAGAGGGUGACCGGCCACAUUGGGACUGAGAUACGGCCCAGACUCCUACGGGAGGCAGCAGUGGGGAAUAUUGCACAAUGGGCGGAAGCCUGAUGCAGCAACGCCGCGUGCGGGAUGACGGCCUUCGGGUUGUAAACCGCUUUCGCCUGUGACGAAGCGUGAGUGACGGUAAUGGGUAAAGAAGCACCGGCUAACUACGUGCCAGCAGCCGCGGUGAUACGUAGGGUGCGAGCGUUGUCCGGAUUUAUUGGGCGUAAAGGGCUCGUAGGUGGUUGAUCGCGUCGGAAGUGUAAUCUUGGGGCUUAACCCUGAGCGUGCUUUCGAUACGGGUUGACUUGAGGAAGGUAGGGGAGAAUGGAAUUCCUGGUGGAGCGGUGGAAUGCGCAGAUAUCAGGAGGAACACCAGUGGCGAAGGCGGUUCUCUGGGCCUUUCCUGACGCUGAGGAGCGAAAGCGUGGGGAGCGAACAGGCUUAGAUACCCUGGUAGUCCACGCUGUAAACGGUGGGUACUAGGUGUGGGGUCCAUUCCACGGGUUCCGUGCCGUAGCUAACGCUUUAAGUACCCCGCCUGGGGAGUACGGCCGCAAGGCUAAAACUCAAAGGAAUUGACGGGGCNCCGCACAAGCGGCGGAGCAUGCGGAUUAAUUCGAUGCAACGCGUAGAACCUUACCUGGGUNUGACAUGGAUCGGGAGUGCUCAGAGAUGGGUGUGCCUCUUUUGGGGUCGGUUCACAGGUGGUGCAUGGCUGUCGUCAGCUCGUGUCGUGAGAUGUUGGGUUAAGUCCCGCAACGAGCGCAACCCUUGUUCACUGUUGCCAGCACGUUAUGGUGGGGACUCAGUGGAGACCGCCGGGGUCAACUCGGAGGAAGGUGGGGAUGACGUCAAGUCAUCAUGCCCCUUAUGUCCAGGGCUUCACGCAUGCUACAAUGGCUGGUACAGAGAGUGGCGAGCCUGUGAGGGUGAGCGAAUCUCGGAAAGCCGGCCUCAGUUCGGAUUGGGGUCUGCAACUCGACCUCAUGAAGUCGGAGUCGCUAGUAAUCGCAGAUCAGCAACGCUGCGGUGAAUACGUUCCCGGGGCUUGUACACACCGCCCGUCAAGUCAUGAAAGUUGGUAACACCCGAAGCCGGUGGCCUAACCGUUGUGGGGGAGCCGUCGAAGGUGGGACUGGUGAUUAGGACUAAGUCGUAAC
rnacentral:rRNA from 1 species